CAGCCGCCGCGGUAAUACCGGCGGCCCGAGUGGCGGUCACUAUUAUUGGGCUUAAAGCGUCCGUAGCCGGGUUGGGAAGUCCUCCGGGAAAUCUGGCCGCUUAACGGUCAGAAUGCCGGAGGAUACUCCCAGCCUAGGGAGCGGGAGAGGCCGAGGGGAUUCCCGGAGUAGGGGUGGAAUCCUAUAAUCCCGGGAGGACCACCUGUGGCGAAGGCGCUCGGCUGGAACGCGUCCGACGGUGAGGGACGAAGGCCAGGGGAGCAAACCGGAUUAGAUACCCGGGUAGUCCUGGCUGUAAACGAUGCGGACUUUGUGUCGGACAAGCUAUGAGCUUGUCCGGUGCCGGAGGGAAACCGUUAAGUCCGCCGCCUGGGGAGUACGGCCGCAAGGCUGAAACUUAAAGGAAUUGGCGGG
rnacentral:rRNA from 1 species